rnacentral:RNase_P_RNA from 1 species
GAAGAAGGCCAGAUGAUCGCCGGUCCGCCCUUCGGCGGGCGGGAGGAAAGUCCGGGCUCCACAGGGCAGGAUGGUCCUUAACGGGGACCGGGGGCGACCCCAGGGAAAGUGCCACAGAGAGUAGACCGCUUCGCCGGAGCACCGCUUGCGGUGCGAAGGUGGAGUAAGGGUGAAAGGGUGAGGUAAGAGCUCACCAGGUCCGGUGGCGACACCGGAUGCUCGGUAAACCCCAUCCGGAGCAAGGCCGAAUAGGGAAGCGUUUGAGGACGGCCCGUCCGAGGCUUCCGGGUUGGCUGCUCGAGGUUGUCGGCAACGGCAAUCCUAGAUGAAUGAUCAUCGUCCUGGUCCGGGUAACCGUGCCAGGGAACAGAACCCGGCUUACGGCCUUCUUCAGCC